GUUGCCAGCCCGCUCAGAAACUCAAAGGAAGUUGACGGGGCCCGGCACAGCGGUGGAGCAUGUGGUUAAUUCGAAGCAACGCGAAGAACCUUACCAGGCCUUGACAUGCAGAGAACUUUCCAGAGAUGGAUUGGUGCCUUCGGGAACUCUGACACAGGUGCUGCAUGGCUGUCGUCAGCUCGUGUCGUGAGAUGCUGGGUUAAGUCCCGUAACGAGCGCAACCCUUGUCCUUAGUUACCAGCACGUUAUGGUGGGCACUCUAAGGAGACUGCCGGUGACAAACCGGAGGAAGGUGGGGAUGACGUCAAGUCAUCAUGGCCCUUACGGCCUGGGCUACACACGUGCUACAAUGGUCGGUACAAAGGGUUGCCAAGCCGCGAGGUGGAGCUAAUCCCAUAAAACCGAUCGUAGUCCGGAUCGCAGUCUGCAACUCGACUGCGUGAAGUCGGAAUCGCUAGUAAUCGUGAAUCAGAAUGUCACGGUGAAUACGUUCCCGGGCCUU
rnacentral:rRNA from 1 species